AGUAGUUUGAUCAGUGGCUCGAGACGAACGCUGGCGGUGUGCUUCACACAUGCAAGUCGAACGGUAAGGCCCUUCGGGGUACACGAGUGGCGAACGGGUGAGUAACACGUGGGUGAUCUGCCCUGCACUUCGGGAUAAGCCUGGGAAACUGGGUCUAAUACCGGAUAGGACCAUGGACUUCACGGUUUGUGGUGGAAAGCUUUUGCGGUGUGGGAUGGGCCCGCGGCCUAUCAGCUUGUUGGUGGGGUAAUGGCCUACCAAGGCGACGACGGGUAGCCGGCCUGAGAGGGUGUCCGGCCACACUGGGACUGAGAUACGGCCCAGACUCCUACGGGAGGCAGCAGUGGGGAAUAUUGCACAAUGGGCGCAAGCCUGAUGCAGCGACGCCGCGUGAGGGAUGACGGCCUUCGGGUUGUAAACCUCUUUCAAUAGGGACGAAGCGCAAGUGACGGUACCUAUAGAAGAAGCACCGGCCAACUACGUG
rnacentral:rRNA from 1 species